rnacentral:rRNA from 1 species
AGCAGCCGCGGUAAUUCCAGCUCCAAUAGCGUAUAUUAAAGUUGUUGCAGUUAAAAAGCUCGUAGUUGAAUUUCGGGGUUAGUAGGUUGGUCAUGCCUCUGGUAUGUACUGGUCUCACUGAUUCCUCCUUCCUGAUGAGCCGUAAUGCCAUUAAUUUGGUGUUGCGGGGAAUUUGGACUGUUACUUUGAAAAAUUAGAGUGUUUAAAGCGAGCUAACGCUUGAAUACAUUAGCAUGGAAUAAUGAAAUAGGACGUUCGAUCCUAUUUUGUUGGUUUCUAGGAUUGACGUAAUGAUUAAUAGGGAUAGUUGGGGGCAUUAGUAUUCAAUUGUCAGAGGUGAAAUUCUUGGAUUUAUUGAAGACUAACUACUGCGAAAGCAUUUGCCAAGGAUGUUUUCAUUAAUCAAGAACGAAAGUUAGGGGAUCGAAGACGAUCAGAUACCGUCGUAGUCUUAACCAUAAACUAUGCCGACUAGGGAUCGGAUGAUGUUAAUUUUUAAUGACUCAUUCGGCGCCUUAAC